rnacentral:rRNA from 1 species
UGGGGAAUAUUGCGCAAUGGGCGAAAGCCUGACGCAGCGACGCCGCGUGAGGGAUGAAGGUUUUCGGAUCGUAAACCUCUGUCAGAAGGGAAGAAACCGCACUGUGCUAAUCAGCAGUGCCUUGACGGUACCUUCAAAGGAAGCACCGGCUAACUCCGUGCCAGCAGCCGCGGUAAUACGGAGGGUGCAAGCGUUAAUCGGGAUUACUGGGCGUAAAGCGCACGUAGGCUGCUUUGUAAGUCAGGGGUGAAAUCCCACGGCUCAACCGUGGAACUGCCUUUGAUACUGCUUAGCUUGAAUCCGGGAGAGGGUGGCGGAAUUCCAGGUGUAGGAGUGAAAUCCGUAGAUAUCUGGAGGAACAUCAGUGGCGAAGGCGGCCACCUGGACCGGUAUUGACGCUGAGGUGCGAAAGCGUGGGGAGCAAACAGG